rnacentral:rRNA from 1 species
CCGUUCAAUACUGCGGGGCUCGAGGGCAGAAGAGGGGGGUGGAAUUGCUGGUGUAGUGGUGAAAUGCGUAGAUAUCAGCAGGAACACCUGUGGCGAAAGCGGCCCCCUGGUCUGCUCCUGACACUCAGACGCGAAAGCUAGGGGAGUGAACGGGAUUAGAAACCCCGGUAAUCCUAGCCGUAAACGAUGGAUGCUAGGUGUGGGUGGUAUUGACCCCAUCCGUGCCGAAGCCAACGCGUUAAGCAUCCCGCCUGGGGACUACGGCCGCAAGGUUAAAACUCAAAGGAAUUGACGGGGACCCGCACAAGCAGCGGAGCGUGUGGUUUAAUUCGAUGCUACACGAAGAACCUUACCCAGGUUUGACAUGCAGGUAGUAGUGAAGCGAAAGCGGAACGAUCCUUCGGGAAGCCUGCACAGGUGCUGCAUGGCUGUCGUCAGCUCGUGCCGUGAGGUGUUUGGUUAAGUCCACUAACGAGCGCAACCCCUGUCGUCAGUUACAUGUGUCUGGCGAGACUGCCGGUCUUAAACCGGAGGAAGGUGGGGAUGACGUCAAGUCAGCAUGGCCUUUAUAUCUGGG